rnacentral:lncRNA from 1 species
CGUCACUGAAGAUUUAGAGGGAAAGUAUGAUGGUGCGGUCACUACAUUUGUUCUUAGAAAGAACUGCAACACCAUCGCACUGGAUAAUGAUGGCUCCGACCCUCAGAAUCUUUCACAAUCUGGUAAGUGGAAUGAACAAGGGAACCAAUUUCUGUGUGUUCGGGGGCUGGUAUCUCAACCUAUUAGAUCCAGCCUGGGAAUAAAACCCAUUUUUAAUGCACCAUUUGAUAAGAACACUUAACCUCAGUAUGUAUUGUAAUUAGAGAGAUAAUUAGAACUCCAAAAGAACCUUUUAAGACUAGGAAUGCAUCUGAAAUUCACCUAGAAUGAAAACCGCAUCAUCUGAGACCAAUCCGAGGUAUUUUCCCUUCCAUCUUUACCUCGCCUCCUCCCCCCAUUCCAAAGA